GGUGGGAGGAGGAAAGAUAGAAGAUAGGAGGCAGAACACGGGCUGACUUUGAAGCUCUUGACUCCACGGGGCAUUGUAUUCCAGGCGAAGCCUUGCAGCGUGCUGAUUUCAUUUGCUAUGUAACUUCCCAGGGUAAAUUUCUUCAAAGGGAAAACAUUUUAGGAAAAGACUCAUUAGCCUUAGAUACAUGCAAGAGAUACAUGACUACUGUGAGAGGGAGUUUCUGGAAGGUUUCCUGAAAGCCACUGAGAAGAUCACAAGUCGAGACACUGGAGAUCUAGAAAGAAAAGGCACGGUCCUUGAGAGCUGGAAGGAGCGACAGGCAAACAGCACAACUCACACUAGCCGGGAACAUUGUUUCAGAAAAGCGUGCAGCGCUGAGAGAGCACUUAGAAUGAGGUCCUGACCGAGACAUGGAAGAAUGGGCGGUGGGGGCGGAGCCCUCCUGGUUACCCCCGGAGCGUGGCAUUUUGGGAGAGACGAAG
rnacentral:lncRNA from 1 species